AAAGCCAAGGACAGACACAUUGCCAAGGAACUGGCACUCCUAAGGGCUUCAAAUCCCACACCACCAAUGGUUUCGCAUCUUGAUGAAGUGGACGAUGCAGUAAUUGAAGAGGGAAUCAAGAGGGCAGUGGAGGCGAGGUCACAAGUUCUCUGUAUCCUCCAUUACUGCUAUAUCACAACUUUCAACUUCUCCCCACACUUCCAGCAUGGUUUCUUGUGACCACAGUACCCCAAAUGUGCAGCUUUCUUCUCCUUCUGCCAGCAUGGCUUCCUGUGACCACGGCAUCCCAAAUAUGCAAUCUCCUUCUGCCACCAAGGCUUCCUGUGACCACGCCAGCCGAAAUGUGCAGCCUCCUUCUGCCACUGACCUUGAGUAAAACUGGUUGAGGAAUUUAAGGGCUAUACAGAAGGCGCAAACCCAGGCAGGAAAACACGUGAAAAUACAAAGCAGCGAGCAACUCAUGUUAUCCAGUUUCUGGAAUUCAUGGCAGACUCAGCAACUCCAAACGUUGACCUUCUUUUCCUGGCAAACCAUGGUAGAGUUCGUGGUUUUGUACAGCACCUCCAAGAAAAAGGGUUUAAACCAACAAUCCAGAGAAAUUAUUUAAUGGACGCUGUGGCUUUCAUGAAAUAUGUUUCAAACAUGUCUCCACCAUCUGUCCGACUUGGAAAUAAAAGGAUCAAUGCC